UACGAGUGCUUCGAGCGUUAUCCGGAAUCAUUGGGCGUAAAGGGUGUGUAGGCGGCUUCGUUAGUCUUGUGUUAAAUCUUUCGGCUCAACCGAGAGUCUGCACGGGAAACGGCGAGGCUCAGAGGAUGGAAGGGGUCUGCGGAACUCAUGGUGUAGCGGUGAAAUGCGUUGAUAUCAUGGGGAACACCGAAAGCGAAGGCAGCAGACUGGUCCACUCCUGACGCUGAAACACGAAAGCGUGGGUCGCGAAUGGG
rnacentral:rRNA from 1 species